UCUUUGCGCGGCCUACACAUGCAAGUCGAACGGUAGCACAGAGAGCUUGCUCUCGGGUGACGAGUGGCGGACGGGUGAGUAACGUCUGGGAAACUGCCCGAUGGAGGGGGAUAACUACUGGAAACGGUAGCUAAUACCGCAUAACGUCGCAAGACCAAAGUGGGGGACCUUCGGGCCUCACACCAUCGGAUGUGCCCAGAUGGGAUUAGCUAGUAGGUGGGGUAAUGGCUCACCUAGGCGACGAUCCCUAGCUGGUCUGAGAGGAUGACCAGCCACACUGGAACUGAGACACGGUCCAGACUCCUACGGGAGGCAGCAGUGGGGAAUAUUGCACAAUGGGCGCAAGCCUGAUGCAGCCAUGCCGCGUGUAUGAAGAAGGCCUUCGGGUUGUAAAGUACUUUCAGCGGGGAGGAAGGCGGUGAAGUUAAUAGCUUCACCGAUUGACGUUACCCGCAGAAGAAGCACCGGCUAACUCCGUGCCAGCAGCCGCGGUAAUACGGAGGGUGCAAGCGUUAAUCGGAAUUACUGGGCGUAAAGCGCACGCAGGCGGUCUGUCAAGUCGGAUGUGAAAUCCCCGGGCUUAACCUGGGAACUGCAUUCGAAACUGGCAGGCUAGAGUCUUGUAGAGGGGGGGUAGAAUUCCAGGUGUAGCGGUGAAAUGCGUAGAGAUCUGGAGGAAUACCGGUGGCGAAGGCGGCCGCCCUGGACAAAGACUGACGCUCAGGUGCGAAAGCGUGUGGAGCAAAACAGGAUUAGAUACCCUGGUAGUCCACGCCGGUAAACGAUGUCGACUUGGAGGUUGUUCCCUUGAGGAGUGGCUUCCGGAGCUAACCCUUUUCACGCGACCCGCCCUGGGGAGU
rnacentral:rRNA from 1 species